CCGAGUGAAAACUCCCAACCCUAUGUGAACAUACCUUUUGUUGCUUCGGCGGGCUCGCCCCGGGCGCCUCUGCGUGCCCCGGAUCCAGGCGCCCGCCGGAGGACCUAAACUAUUGUCUUUAGUGGAUUUUUCUGAGUGGCUCUUGAGCAAAUAAAUCA
rnacentral:misc_RNA from 1 species